GGCCUAUCUUAUGAAUUUUAGUCGAUAAUAGUUAUUUUGACAGGCGGGUUUGCUUAGGUUUAUAUAUAUAUCAUGUAGAAUACAGGCUAGCAGGUAGAUGGCAUUUUGGUCUCAUUUUUUGUGGGGCAUAUGCAAAUCUUAGCAGUUGCGAAUGUUCUGAACUGUAGGAAAGGGGAUAAAGAAUUUAUGCGAGUAUACAGUACCUUGUCUUACAUUUUGAACUUCUUAUAAGGAUGCAGCACAUUUUCAUUUUCCAUUAUUUUUAAACUAUAGGAUUUAACUUUGGCAGAACUGGCAUGUGAGAAUAUAUGCAUGCUGCACCUUUUCUCUGCUUUGAAUGCAAAUCACAGUUAGAUCCUUGGAGCGCAUCCCCAAGCUAGAUGAACCAAACUUGAAUUAGUGUAGAAAAAACAGAAUCUUAAGUCCUACUACGACUACUACUACUACUACUACGACUACUACCACUACUACUACGACUACUACUACUACGACUACUAAUACUACUACGACUACUACUAUUUUGUUGCUUGAAAAAUAAUC
rnacentral:misc_RNA from 1 species